GACGAACGCUGGCGGCGUGCCUAACACAUGCAAGUCGAGCGGGGGACUUCGGUCCCCAGCGGCGGACGGGUGAGUAACACGUGGGUAACCUGCCUUGUAGAGGGGGAUAGCCUUCCGAAAGGAAGAUUAAUACCGCAUAACAUUGAGAUAUCGCAUGAUAUUUUAAUCAAAGGAGCAAUCCGCUACAAGAUGGACCCGCGGCGCAUUAGCUAGUUGGUGAGGUAACGGCUCACCAAGGCGACGAUGCGUAGCCGGCCUGAGAGGGUGAACGGCCACAUUGGAACUGAGACACGGUCCAGACUCCUACGGGAGGCAGCAGUGGGGAAUAUUGCACAAUGGGCGAAAGCCUGAUGCAGCAACGCCGCGUGAGUGAUGAAGGCCUUCGGGUUGUAAAGCUCUGUCUUCUGGGACGAUAAUGACGGUACCAGAGGAGGAAGCCACGGCUAACUACGUGCCAGCAGCCGCGGUAAUACGUAGGUGGCAAGCGUUGUCCGGAUUUACUGGGCGUAAAGGAUGCGUAGGCGGAUACUUAAGUCAGAUGUGAAAAUCCCGGGCUUAACUUGGGAACUGCAUUUGAAACUGGGUAUCUAGAGUGCGGGAGAGGAGAGUGGAAUUCCUAGUGUAGCGGUGAAAUGCGUAGAGAUUAGGAAGAACACCAGUGGCGAAGGCGACUCUCUGGACCGUAACUGACGCUGAGGCAUGAAAGCGUGGGGAGCAAACAGGAUUAGAUACCCUGGUAGUCCACGCCGUAAACUAUGAAUACUAGGUGUGGGAGUUGUCAUGACUUCCGUGCCGCAGUUAACACAAUAAGUAUUCCGCCUGGGGAGUACGGUCGCAAGAUUA
rnacentral:rRNA from 1 species